rnacentral:rRNA from 1 species
AGUGAACGCUGGCGGUAGGCCUAACACAUGCAAGUCGAACGGCAGCACAGUAAGAGCUUGCUCUUACGGGUGGCGAGUGGCGGACGGGUGAGGAAUACAUCGGAAUCUACUUUUUCGUGGGGGAUAACGUAGGGAAACUUACGCUAAUACCGCAUACGACCUACGGGUGAAAGCAGGGGAUCUUCGGACCUUGCGCGAUUGAAUGAGCCGAUGUCGGAUUAGCUAGUUGGCGGGGUAAAGGCCCACCAAGGCGACGAUCCGUAGCUGGUCUGAGAGGAUGAUCAGCCACACUGGAACUGAGACACGGUCCAGACUCCUACGGGAGGCAGCAGUGGGGAAUAUUGGACAGUGGGCGCAAGCCUGAUCCAGCCAUACCGCGUGGGUGAAGAAGGCCUUCGGGUUGCAAAGCCCUUUUGUUGGGAAAGAAAAGCAGCAGGUUAAUACCCCGCUGUUCUGACGGUACCCAAAGAAUAAGCACCGGCUAACUUCGU